rnacentral:hammerhead_ribozyme from 1 species
AUUCAGAUGACGAGUCCCAAAUAGGACGAAA